GGGGGUGUAACUCAACGGUAGAGUGUAUGCUUUGCAAGCAUGAGGUUAUCGGUUCAAAUCCGAUCAUCUCCA
rnacentral:tRNA from 1 species